AGGAUUCAUCUUGGACCCAUAGAUUAUGUUUUCUUCGACAUAUUGCAUUUCAACAAUCUGGACUUGUAUGAACAUCUGACAAACAAAAACCUGUGUGCGAAAAUUAAUCUCCCUUCUCAGAUUUUGAUCAUAUCUCCAACCAAAAACAGACACUACUACAUAGGAACAAUCUUUCCUGCGGAUACUACAUUUAUUCAGAAGAUCUGAGCUUGCAAAUGACUUUGAAGAGAAGAUAAAACUGAAAUUUAUAGGCGCUGUUGUGGAUCUAUCAACGAUAUAGCAGUUUUUGA